GACAUGGUGGUGUAACUGGUAACAUCCCUGCUUCUACUAGUCCUGUAAGUAGUAGGCUAGGCAGGAGCUCCCCGUUCGAUUCGGGGUCAGGUCA